AAACUAACAAGGAUUCCUUUAGUAACGGCGAGUGAACCGGGAAAAGCUCAAAUUUGUAAUCUGGCUGUCUUCGAUAGUCCGAGUUGUAAUCUAUAGACGUGUUUUCCGUGCUGGAUCGUAUCUAAGUCCCUUGGAACAGGGUAUCAAAGAGGGUGACAAUCCCGUGCUUGAUACGACGACCAGUGCUCUGUGAUACACGUUCUACGAGUCGAGUUGUUUGGGAAUGCAGCUCAAAAUGGGUGGUAAAUUCCAUCUAAAGCUAAAUAUUGGCGAGAGACCGAUAGCGAACAAGUACCGUGAGGGAAAGAUGAAAAGCACUUUGGAAAGAGAGUUAAACAGUACGUGAAAUUGUUGAAAGGGAAACGAUUGAAGUCAGUCGUGUUCUUCAGAUUCAGCUGGUUCUUCCAGUCUACUUCUGUUGAACGGGUCAACAUCAGUUUUGUCCGGUGGAUAAAGGUAGUAGGAAUGUGACUCCCCCGGGAGUGUUAUAGCCUAUUAUUGCAUACACUGGGUGAGACUGAGGACUGCAGCUCGCCUUUUGGCCGGUCUUCGGACACGUUCGAGCUUAGGAUGUUGACAUAAUGGCUUUAAACGAC
rnacentral:rRNA from 1 species